rnacentral:rRNA from 1 species
UACGUAGGGUGCGAGCGUUGUCCGGAAUUAUUGGGCGUAAAGAGCUCGUAGGCGGUUUGUCGCGUCUGCCGUGAAAGUCCGGGGCUCAACUCCGGAUCUGCGGUGGGUACGGGCAGACUAGAGUGAUGUAGGGGAGACUGGAAUUCCUGGUGUAGCGGUGAAAUGCGCAGAUAUCAGGAGGAACACCAAUAGCGAAGGCAGCUCGCUGGGACGGUACUGACGCUAAGGCGCGAAAGCGUGGGGAGCGAACGAGG